rnacentral:rRNA from 1 species
GAUGAACGCUGGCGGCGUGCCUAACACAUGCAAGUCGAGCGAAGCAUUUUAAAGGAAGUUUUCGGAUAGAAUUUGAAAUGACUGAGCGGCGACGGGUGAGUAGCACAUGGGCAACCUGCCCUUCAGAGGGGGACAACAGCUGGAAACGGCUGCUAAGACCGCAUAGGCGCGGACGGGACAUCCCGUCCACGUUAAACGUCCUUACGGGGACGGCUGAAGGAUGGGCCUGUGGCGCAUUAGCUUGUUGGCGGGGCAACGGCCCACCAAGGCGACGAUGCGUAGCCGGCCUGAGAGGGCGGACGGCCACACUGGGACUGAGACACGGCCCAG